rnacentral:rRNA from 1 species
CCGAGUGGCGGACGGGUGAGUAACGCGUGGGUAACCUGCCUCAUACAGGGGGAUAACGGUUAGAAAUGACUGCUAAUACCGCAUAAGCGCACAGUACCGCAUGGUACGGUGUGAAAAACUCCGGUGGUAUGAGAUGGACCCGCGUCUGAUUAGCUAGUUGGUGAGGUAACGGCCCACCAAGGCGACGAUCAGUAGCCGACCUGAGAGGGUGACCGGCCACAUUGGGACUGAGACACGGCCCAGACUCCUACGGGAGGCAGCAGUGGGGGAUAUUGCACAAUGGAGGAAACUCUGAUGCAGCGACGCCGCGUGAGUGAAGAAGUAUUUCGGUAUGUAAAGCUCUAUCAGCAGGGAAGAAAAUGACGGUACCUGACUAAGAAGCCCCGGCUAACUACGUGCCAGCAGCCGCGGUAAUACGUAGGGGGCAAGCGUUAUCCGGAUUUACUGGGUGUAAAGGGAGCGUAGACGGCGACGCAAGUCUGAAGUGAAAUACCCGGGCUCAACCUGGGAACUGCUUUGGAAACUGUGUUGCUAGAGUGCUGGAGAGGUAAGCGGAAUUCCUAGUGUAGCGGUGAAAUGCGUAGAUAUUAGGAAGAACACCAGUGGCGAAG